rnacentral:lncRNA from 1 species
UCAAGAACAUGAGAAAUAGAGAUUAUAACUUGGAUUCUUACUCUUUGAUUCUUGUUUAGACCUUGUUAGAAGACAAGUUAGCUUUGUUGAUCUCCACUCCUUUGAUUCUCAGAAAUUCUCUCAAACUCUCUCAAUUUCUCUUUGUUCUUUGGAUUCUCAGGCUUGGCAAUAUGAUACAAUACAUGAAAUAAAAACUGAUAUAAUACGUAUUGCUUGACGUGGAUAUCAAUUAAGCGCAUCAUGACUUCAACUGUUAUCAUGUUCCAUAGGCCUUGUUUGGCUAGCUCUAAAAAGGCUCCUUUUAAUUUAUUUUAAUAAUUCACUUAUCAUAUAGUUUAUUUGUCACACUUUAAUUAAUCAAAUUCAUUUAACUCUUA